UACGAAGGUCCCAAGCGUUGUUCGGAAUCACUGGGCGUAAAGGGCGCGUAGGCGGCGUGGUAAGUCAGAUGUGAAAUCCCGGGGCUCAACCCCGGAACUGCAUCCGAUACUGCCAUGCUAGAGGAUUGGAGAGGUAGCUGGAAUUCUUGGUGUAGCAGUGAAAUGCGUAGAGAUCAAGAGGAACACGCGUGGCGAAAGCGAGCUACUGGACAAUUCCUGACGCUGAGGCUCGAAGGCUAGGGUAGCGAAAGGG
rnacentral:rRNA from 1 species